UACGGGGGGGGCAAGCGUUGUUCGGAAUUACUGGGCGUAAAGGGCUCGUAGGCGGCCAACUAAGUCGGAUGUGAAAUCCCCAGGCUUAACCUGGGAACUGCAUCCGAUACUGGAUGGCUUGAAUCCGGGAGAGGGAUGCAGAAUUCCAGGUGUAGCGGUGAAAUGCGUAGAUAUCGGGAGGAACACCAGUGGCGAAGGCGGCUACCUGGCACAUAACUGACGCUGAUACGCGAAAGCGUGGGGAGCGAACAGG
rnacentral:rRNA from 1 species